AGGACGAACGCUGGCGGCGUGCUUAACACAUGCAAGUCGAACGGUGAUCCCCUUCGGGGGUGAUCAGUGGCGAACGGGUGAGUAACACGUGAGCAACCUGCCCCUGACUCUGGGAUAACCCCGGGAAACCGGAGCUAAUACCGGAUAUGACGCGCUCGGGCAUCCGAUGCGUGUGGAAAGAUUUAUCGGUCAGGGAUGGGCUCGCGGCCUAUCAGCUUGUUGGUGGGGUAAUGGCCUACCAAGGCGACGACGGGUAGCCGGCCUGAGAGGGCGACCGGCCACACUGGGACUGAGACACGGCCCAGACUCCUACGGGAGGCAGCAGUGGGGAAUAUUGCGCAAUGGGCGAAAGCCUGACGCAGCGACGCCGCGUGAGGGAUGAAGGCCUUCGGGUUGUAAACCUCUUUCAGCAGGGAAGAAGCGAAAGUGACGGUACCUGCAGAAGAAGCACCGGCUAACUACGCGCCAGCAGCCGCGGUAA
rnacentral:rRNA from 1 species